UACGGAGGGUGCAAAGCGUUAGCUCGGAAUUAUUGGGCGUAAAGCGCACGUAGGCGGUCCAGCAAGUCGGGUGUGAAAGCCCUCGGCUUAACCGAGGAAGUGCAUUCGAAACUACUGGGCUUGAGUACUGAAGAGGAUCGCGGAAUUCCCGGUGUAGAGGUGAAAUUCGUAGAUAUCGGGAGGAACACCAGUGGCGAAGGCGGCGAUCUGGGCAGAUACUGACGCUGAGGUGCGAAAGCGUGGGGAGCAAACAGG
rnacentral:rRNA from 1 species